UGGGGAAUAUUUCACAAUGGGCGCAAGCCUGAUGCAGCAACGCCGCGUGAACGAUGAAUGUCUUCGGAUCGCAAAGUUCUUUUGCAGGGGAAGAUAAUGACGGUACCAUAAGAAAAAGCCCCGGCUAACUACGUGCCAGCAGCCGCGGUAAUACGUAGGGGGCUAGCGUUGUCCGGAAUCACUGGGGGUAAAGGGUUCGCAGGCGGAAAUGCAAGUCAGGUGUAAAAGGCAGUAGCUUAACUACUGUAAGCAUUUGAAACUGCAUAUCUUGAGAAGAGUAGAGGAAAGUGGAAUUUUUAGAGUAGCGGAGAGAUGCGUAGAUAUUAAAAGGGAUACCGGUGGCGAAAGCGACUAACUGGACGCAUUCUGACGCUGAGGAACGAAAGAGUGGGUAGCAAACAGG
rnacentral:rRNA from 1 species